rnacentral:rRNA from 1 species
UACGUAGGGGGGCAAGCGUUGUCCGGAUUUAUUGGGCGUAAAGAGCGUGUAGGCGGCUUGGUAGGUCCGCUGUGAAAACUCGAGGCUCAACCUCGAGAUGUCGGCGGAAACCACUUGGCUAGAGUCCGGAAGAGGAGAGUGGAAUUCCCCGGUGUAGCGGUGAAAUGCGCAGAUAUCGGGAAGAACACCUAUGGCGAAGGCAGCUCUCUGGGACGGUACUGACGCUGAGACGCGAAAGCGUGGGGAGCGAACAGG